UACAGAGGUCUCAAGCGUUGUUCGGAUUCAUUGGGCGUAAAGGGUGCGUAGGUGGCGAGGUUAGUCAGGUGUGAAAUCUCGGGGCUCAACCCCGAAACUGCACUUGAUACUGCCUUGCUAGAGUACUGGAGAGGAGAUUGGAAUUUACGGUGUAGCAGUGAAAUGCGUAGAUAUCGUAAGGAAGACCAGUGGCGAAGGCGGCCUGCUGGGCAGUAGCUGACACUGAGGCGCGACAGCGUGGGGAGCAAACAGG
rnacentral:rRNA from 1 species